CCCACAUCCCCUCCCCGUGAAGUACAUCCUGUGGUUAAUGGCAUGGUAUUGAGCAUUGCAUCCAUGUAUGUCUAGCAUUCCUUGGAUCCCUGGAGAAUGCUACUUGUUGAAGAUUUGGAUGUACCAAAGCCAGAUGUAUGCUCAGAAGACAUCUAGUUGGGCACACUGCUGGUGUCUGGGGAAUGACAUGGCAGGAAAUGAAUCUAAUCAACCUGAAUCCGAUUCUAGCUCUUCACUGUCAACCAUGUUGAAGUUUACUGCUGUAGCUAAAGCAUAUAUGCCAAAAUAG
rnacentral:lncRNA from 1 species